rnacentral:rRNA from 1 species
UACGUAGGGGGCAAGCGUUGUCCGGAAUCAUUGGGCGUAAAGAGCGUGUAGGCGGCCAGAUAAGUCCGCUGUGAAAUCUCGAGGCUCAACUUCGAGCUGUCGGUGGAAACUGUCUGGCUAGAGUCCGGAAGAGGAGAAUGGAAUUCCUGGUGUAGCGGUGGAAUGCGCAGAUAUCAGGAGGAACACCGGUGGCGAAGGCGGGACUCUGGGCCGAUACUGACGCUGAGGAGCGAAAGCGUGGGGAGCAAACAGG